GCUCCUCGGGAGAUGCCCGCAUAGCCCGAGUCCCCGCUGACAUUGGCGGGGGGAGCGGGGCGGGCAGCGCCCUGCCCGCCCAGCCGGAGCUCGGCCCGGGGCCCGGCCCCGCCGCAGGGGAGGCGGAGGCGAGCCCGCCCCGCACCGCUCCGCAGCCCGGCCCCGGCCCGCUCUGCCGCAGUGGAGUGAUGGUGAUGACACUGCAAACCCUGCUCUUCAAAAAAAAUUGGAGCAAACUCCCACCUUAGGCCUUUUACUCAGCACUUCCUGACAUGAAACCUUGAUCCAGAAGCCUUCCAAGCACAAAUCUCAUCCAGAAUUCAUCAGAAACUUGGUGGAUGCAGGACUCAUGGGAUUACGUCUGGUACACCAUGUACAGUGGCAAGCACUCACACAAGCAUACGAACAGCAGCCUGUCCUUUCUAACAGAAAUUUAGAGAUUUGUAGGUAGAGUUGCAGUGCUACAGUAUAAAGGCACACUCUAAGUCACUAAAAAUUCUAAAAAGAAAACACUCUUUCCCUUGAAUUGAAGCUUUGGCCUGGGGUUCUAACCUUCAUUACAGUUUGCAACAUGUAAAAGGAACAGAUAAACAGAACUCCUCUUCCUCCUCUCAUCAUCAUAACACCCUGGAUCAUAACAUUCUUAGAUAUUUUUCAGGCUGCUAAUUCAAUGCCCACCGGCAAUUCUGUUAUUUCCUCUUCAAGCACAUUUUAAUGUUAUCACAUCUGAAAUUCAAGUCUGGUAAAUAUAAUAAAUUUGAUUAUAACUUAGAUUCCCUACUUAUUAAAUUAGCUUAUUUUCAGAAACCAUGCUGAAUCUAAAGGAGAAAAAGCAGCAAAUUAUACCUGACAGCUUUAAUGGAUUUAUAACUAUAUGAAUAAAAGAUGUGAUUCAUCACAGAUAAUAAGUCUUGCAAAAACUUUGGGUGAGCUGAGAAAAUAAUGGUAACAGCUUUGCAAAACUACUUAUAAUUUAAAAUCAUCUGAGUGGUGGGGAAAAUGUGGCAGACU